AACUAUAACGGUCCUAAGGUAGCGAAAUUCCUUGUCGGGUAAGUUCCGACCCGCACGAAAGGCGUAAUGAUUUGAGCGCUGUCUCGACAAUGCACCCGGUGAAAUUGAAAUACCAGUGAAGAUGCUGGUUACCUGCGCCAGGACGGAAAGACCCCAUGGAGCUUUACUCCAGCUUGAUACUGGGAUUCGGUAUUGCAUGUACAGGAUAGGUGGGAGGCUAGGAAAUGGUAACGCCAGUUGCCAUGGAGCCAAUGUUGGGAUACCACCCUUGCAGUAUUGGGUUUCUAACCAGCAGCCGUGAUCCGGCUGGGGGACAAUGUCAGGUGGGGAGUUUGACUGGGGCGGUCGCCUCCGAAAGGGUAUCGGAGGCGCUCAAAGGUUCCCUCAGAAUGGUUGGAAACCAUUCGAAGAGUGCAAAGGCAGAAGGGAGCUUGACUGCGACACCGACGGGUGGAGCAGGUACGAAAGUAGGACUUAGUGAUCCGGUGGUAUAAAGUGGGAUUGCCAUCGCUCAACGGAUAAAAGCUACCCUGGGGAUAACAGGCUUAUCACUCCCAAGAGUUCACAUCGACGGAGUGGUUUGGCACCUCGAUGUCGGCUCAUCGCAUCCUGGGGCUGAAGUAGGUCCCAAGGGUUGGGCUGUUCGCCCAUUAAAGCGGUACGCGAGCUGGGUUCAGAACGUCGUGAGACAGUUCGGUCCCUAUCCGGCGUGGGCGUAGGAUAUUUGAGAGGAGCUGCCCUUAGUACGAGAGGACCGGGGUGGACUGGCCGCUGGUGGAUCUGUUGUAUUACCAAAUGCAUAGCAGAGUAGCCAAGCCGGGACGGGAUAAACGCUGAAGGCAUCUAAGCGUGAAGCCCCCCUCAAGAUGAGAUAUCCCAUAACGUCAAGUUAGUAAGACCCCUUGAAGACGACGAGGUAGAUAGGGCAGAGGUGGAAGUGCGGUAACGCAUGGAGCUGACUGUUACUAAUAGGUCGAGGGCAUAACCAA
rnacentral:rRNA from 1 species